rnacentral:tRNA from 1 species
GCCCUCAGUCGCUCAGCUGGAUAGAGCAUCUGCCAUGUAAGCAGGAGAUCCCAGGUUCGAGUCCUGGUUGGGGCA